AUUGAACGCUGGCGGUAUGCCUUACACAUGCAAGUCGAACGGUAGAGGAGCAAUCCUUGAGAGUGGCGAACGGGUGAGUAAUACAUCGGAACGUGCCCAGUUGUGGGGGAUAACGUAGCGAAAGCUACGCUAAUACCGCAUACGACCUGAGGGUGAAAGCGGGGGACCUGAGAGGGCCUCGCGCGAUUGGAGCGGCCGAUGGCAGAUUAGGUAGUUGGUGGGGUAAAGGCCUACCAAGCCUGCGAUCUGUAGCUGGUCUGAGAGGACGACCAGCCACACUGGGACUGAGACACGGCCCAGACUCCUACGGGAGGCAGCAGUGGGGAAUUUUGGACAAUGGGCGAAAGCCUGAUCCAGCCAUACCGCGUGUGGGAAGAAGGCCUUCGGGUUGUAAACCACUUUUGUCAGGGAAGAAAUGCUCUGGGCUAAUACCCUGGGGAGAUGACGGUACCUGAAGAAUAAGCACCGGCUAACUACGUGCCAGCCGCCGCAGUAA
rnacentral:rRNA from 1 species